rnacentral:tRNA from 1 species
UGGGGUGUGGCUCAGUGGUAGAGUGCUUACUUAGCAAGUACAAAGCCCUAGGUUGGAUCCCCAGUACCACAA